UACGGAGGAUGCGAGCGUUAUCCGGAUUUAUUGGGCGUAAAGCGAGCGCAGGUGGUUUAUUAAGUCUGGUGUAAAGGGCAGUGGCUCAACCAUUGUAUGCAUUGGAAACUGGUAGACUUGAGUGCAGGAGAGGAGAGUGGAAUUCCAUGUGUAGCGGUGAAAUGCGUAGAUAUAUGGAGGAACACCGGUGGCGAAAGCGGCUCUCUGGCCUGUAACUGACACUGAGGCUCGAAAGCGUGGGGAGCAAACAGG
rnacentral:rRNA from 1 species